AUUGAACGCUGGCGGCAUGCCUAACACAUGCAAGUCGAGCGGAGCGGCGGAAGGGUGAGUAAUGCCUAGGAAUCUGCCUGGUCGUGGGGGAUAACGUCCGGCAACGGGCGCUAAUACCACAUACUAUCAGAUGAGCCUAGGUCGGAUUAGCUAGUUGGUGGGGUAAAGGCCUACCAAGGCGACGAUCAGUAACUGGGCUGAGAGGAGGAUCAGUCACACUGGAACGGAGACACGGUCCAGACUCCUACGGGAGGCAGCAGUGGGGAAUAUUGGACAAUGGGCGAAAGCCUGAUCCAGCCAUGCCGCGUGUGUGAAGAAGGUCUUCGGAUGGUAAAGCACUUUAAGUUGGGAGGCGUUACCAACAGAAUAAGCACCGGCUAACUGCGUGCCAGCAGCCGCGGGAUAC
rnacentral:rRNA from 1 species